rnacentral:lncRNA from 1 species
UGAGCGAUGGCAAAAGGCCUGGAUUAUUCCUGCCUUCUGGCAAGUGUUGUCUUUCUCUCUCCUUUGCGUCAUCUGUGCUCUUUGGGCUCCAUCUCAAAACUCCAUGAGGUAAGAUGACCAGGCUUUCAUCUCUAUAAUGCAUGUUUUAGAUUUGAUUGAGUUCACAGGGCUCCUAGUGUGAAAUUGCUCUACCAUAAAACAUGCUAAAAUGAUCGUUUAGUAAUGAUGAGUGUUCUUUCUUAUAUUAAAAAAAGAACAAAGAUGAUCUGAAAUGUCCUCUGAACUAGGGAUCCAUGGCAAUUUUUAUCUUAAUAGAGUAUGAAUACUUUGACCAUGCGAGAAAAUGAGAUGAUUUUCUCCUCACCCAACCCUCCCCAUUUCCAUUGAGAGAUCAUGAACGAAUGAAGUUCCUUUGUCAGUUGAGAAGGAAAGAAGAAAAUGAUACAUAUUUUCCCGGUUUCAAAGAUUCAGGAUCGUUUUCUUCAAACCAUUUCAUAUCUUCCUUCUUCAUGAAAAGAAUCUCAAAAACCACAGGUCUUUCUGUGAAAAAAAUUGGCAUUUGGUAGAACCUAUAUGUUCGCGAUAUUUACUUUCCUUUUCUACACUUAUAUUCUAAUUGGUUUUCUUUUCGAUACAACCAGAUAUGCCUAUUCUGAUGAUAGUGAAGAGUUUGAUAAGGAUAUCACCUUGACACUCAUAAAGCCCUCCCCUCUACCAACAAAGGAUGUAAGAAUUCCAUCCGUAGUGAGAUCAACGCCUGGUGGAGAUGGGACAUCUAAUGGUGGUGAUGUAGAAGAAGAC